CUGCUCCACAGCGCCCAGUCCCAUCAACCACCCAAGGGCUGAAUUGUGCGGGCGCAGGGCACGGGACUGGCAGGCAGCUCCACCGGUAGCCCCGGUGCGGGAUCCACUGGGUGAAGCCAGCUGGGCUCCUGAGUCUGGUGGGGACGUAGAGAACCUUUAUGUCUAGCUCAGGGAUUGUAAAUUCACCAGUCGGCACUCUGUAUCUAGCUCAAGGUUUGUAAACACACCAAUCAGCACCCUGUGUCCAGCUCAGGGUUUGUAAAUGCACCAAUCGACACUCUGUAUCUAGCUACUCUGGUGGGGCCUUGGAGAACCUUUGUGUCCACACUCUGUAUCUAGCUAAUCUGGUGGGGAAGGGGAGAACCUUUGUGUCUAGCUCAGGGCUUGUAAAAGCACCAAUCAGUGCCCUGUCAAAACAGACCACUGGGCUCUACCAAUCAGCAGGAUGUGGAUGGCGGGGGUUGGCGGGGGGCAGAUAAGAGAAUAAAAGCAGGCUGCCAGAGCCAGCAGUUGCAACCUGCUCAGGUCCCCUUCUACACUGUGGAAGCUUUGUUCUUUCGCUCUUUGCAAUAAAUCUUGCUACUGCUCACUCUUUGGGUCCACUCUGCUUUUAUGAGCUGUAACACUCACCGCGAAGGUCUGCAGCUUCACUCCUGAAGCCAGUGAGACCACGAGCCCACCUGGAGGAAGGAACAACUCCAGAGGCCCUGCCUUAAGAGCUGUAACACUCACCGCGAAGGUCUGCAGCUUCACUCCUGAAGCCAGCGAGACCACGAGCCCACCUGGAGGAACAAACAACUCCAGAGGCGCCGCCUUAAGAGCUGUAACACUCACCGCGAAGGUCUGCAGCUUCACUCCUGAGCCAGCGAGACCACGAACCCACCAGAAGGAAGAAACUCCGAAAACAUCUUAACAUCAGAAGGAACAAAUUCCAGACGCGCCAUCUUAAGAGCUGUAACACUCACCGCGAGGGGCGUGGCUUCAUGCUUGAAGUCAGUGAGACCAAGAACCCACCAAUUCUGGACACAUUAUGACCUUUGUUUCCUGCCAUGGAAGAAAAUUUAAAUUCCCAGGCUGAAGAAGCAAAUUAGGCCUCUCAAGCAGAAACCAACAGGUCUCAGAGAGAGGAGAACAAGAUUAAACCAAGUGGCCAAGCUGCCCAUGUGGAUAGGUACAAUGAGCAAGAAAUAAACCUUUGUUGUUUGAUGUCAGUGAG
rnacentral:lncRNA from 1 species